GAUGAACGCUAGCUACAGGCUUAACACAUGCAAGUCGAGGGGCAGCAUAAAACAAGCUUGCUUGUUUGGUGGCGACCGGCGCACGGGUGCGUAACGCGUAUGCAACCUACCCUGUACUGGGGGAUAGCCCGGAGAAAUGCGGAUUAAGACCCCAUAGUAUAUAUCAUUCGCAUGUUUGGUAUAUUAAAGGUUACGGCACAGGAUGGGCAUGCGUCCUAUUAGCUAGAUGGUGAGGUAACGGCUCACCAUGGCGACGAUAGGUAGGGGGCCUGAGAGGGUGGUCCCCCACACUGGUACUGAGACACGGACCAGACUCCUACGGGAGGCAGCAGUGAGGAAUAUUGGUCAAUGGGCGCAAGCCUGAACCAGCCAUGCCGCGUGCAGGAAGAAGGUCCUAUGGAUUGUAAACUGCUUUUAUUUGGGAAUAAACCUCUUUACGUGUAGAGAGCUGAAGGUACCAAAUGAAUAAGCACCGGCUAACUCCGUGCCAGCAGCCGCAGUAA
rnacentral:rRNA from 1 species